GGGGCUGAUUCUGGAUUCGACGGGAAUUUUGCAGUCUGAGGUGCAUGCCGUGGGGCGGUUUGCCACGUUAAAAGCCGCAAAAAAAUAGUCGCAAACGACGAAAACUACGCACUAGCAGCUUAAUAACCUGCCAAGAGCCUUUCUGCCCUAGCUUCCGCUCGUAAGACGGGGAAUAACAGAGAGUCAAAACCAAACAAGCUCGUGCCGCGUCUCCCGCCUGAGAGACAAAGCAUUAAAACUAAUUCAGGAUAGCCAUUAGAUAGCGUGUCGGUUCGCAGUUUGAUGGUGAAAUUAAAGAUCGAAUAAGCAUGUAGUACCAAUGAUGAAUGAUUUUCGGACGCGGGUUCAAAUCCCGCCAGCUCCACCA
rnacentral:tmRNA from 6 species